rnacentral:lncRNA from 1 species
AAAUUAAAAUUUUAUUUUUAUUAUAUAUUAUUGGAAAAUAUACAUAUAUUAUUUCAUGAUGGUGUCUAUCUCCAUCACAAUCUAGAGAAAAAGGAAAUAUAAAAAUAGAAAAUGCAAUAGGUAGGAAAUAGAGUCUAGAAAAUAUACAUAUAUUAUUUCAUGAUGGUGUCUAUCUCCAUCACAAUCUAGAGAAAAAGGAAAUAUAAAAAUAGAAAAUGCAAUAGGUAGGAAAUAGAGUCUAGAAUUAAAGAGAACCAAUUUG